GUGAGUAACACGUGGGUGAUCUGCCUUGCACUUCGGGAUAAGCCUGGGAAACUGGGUCUAAUACCGGAUAGGACCAUGCUUUAGUGUGUGUGGUGGAAAGUUUUUUCGGUGCAAGAUGAGCCCGCGGCCUAUCAGCUUGUUGGUGGGGUAAUGGCCUACCAAGGCGACGACGGGUAGCCGGCCUGAGAGGGUGUACGGCCACAUUGGGACUGAGACACGGCCCAGACUCCUACGGGAGGCAGCAGUGGGGAAUAUUGCACAAUGGGCGCAAGCCUGAUGCAGCGACGCCGCGUGGGGGAUGACGGCCUUCGGGUUGUAAACUCCUUUCGCUAGGGAAGAAGCCACUGUGUGGUGACGGUACCUGGAUAAGAAGCACCGGCUAACUACGUGCCAGCAGCCGCGGUAAUACGUAGGGUGCGAGCGUUGUCCGGAAUUACUGGGCGUAAAGAGCUCGUAGGUGGUUUGUCGCGUCGUCUGUGAAGUCCCGGGGCUUAACUUCGGGCGUGCAGGCGAUACGGGCAUAACUAGAGUGCUGUAGGGGAGACUGGAAUUCCUGGUGUAGCGGUGAAAUGCGCAGAUAUCAGGAGGAACACCGAUGGCGAAGGCAGGUCUCUGGGCAGUUACUGACGCUGAGGAGCGAAAGCAUGGGUAGCGAACAGGAUUAGAUACCCUGGUAGUCCAUGCCGUAAACGGUGGGCGCUAGGUGUGGGGGUUUUAUUUACGAUUCCCGUGCCGUAGCUAACGCAUUAAGCGCCC
rnacentral:rRNA from 1 species